GAUGAAGAACGCAGCGAAAUGCGAUAAGUAAUGUGAAUUGCAGAAUUCAGUGAAUCAUCGAAUCUUUGAACGCACAUUGCGCCCGCCAGUAUUCUGGCGGGCAUGCCUGUUCGAGCGUCAUUUCAACCCUCAGGCCCCCAGUGCCUGGCGUUGGGGAUCGGCCGCUGGCGUCCUUCGGGGCGCCUGGCCGGCCCCGAAAUCUAGUGGCGGUCUCGCUGUAGUCCUCCUCUGCGUAGUAGCACAACCUCGCAGUUGGAACGCGGCGGUGGCCAUGCCGUUAAACACCCCACUUCUGAAAGUUGACCUCGGAUCAGGUAGGAAUACCCGCUGAACUUAAGCAUAUCAAUAAGCGGAGGA
rnacentral:misc_RNA from 1 species